rnacentral:rRNA from 1 species
GUGCCCUACGGGGGCAGCAGUGAGGAAUAUUGGUCAAUGGUCGGGAGACUGAACCAGCCAAGCCGCGUGAGGGAUGAAGGUACAGAGUAUCGUAAACCUCUUUUGUCAGGGAACAAAGGCGGGGACGCGUCCCCGGAUGAGUGUACCUGAAGAAAAAGCAUCGGCUAACUCCGUGCCAGCAGCCGCGGUAAUACGGAGGAUGCGAGCGUUAUCCGGAUUUAUUGGGUUUAAAGGGUGCGCAGGCGGUCUGUUAAGUCAGCGGUCAAAGCACGGGGCUCCACCCCGGCCGGCCGUUGCAACUGGCA